rnacentral:rRNA from 1 species
GAUGAACGCUGGCGGCGUGCUUAACACAUGCAAGUCGAACGAUGAAGCCCAGCUUGCUGGGUGGAUUAGUGGCGAACGGGUGAGUAACACGUGAGUAACCUGCCCUUAACUCUGGGAUAAGCCUGGGAAACUGGGUCUAAUACCGGAUAGGAGCGCCUACCGCAUGGUGGGUGUUGGAAAGAUUUAUCGGUUUUGGAUGGACUCGCGGCCUAUCAGCUUGUUGGUGAGGUAAUGGCUCACCAAGGCGACGACGGGUAGCCGGCCUGAGAGGGUGACCGGCCACACUGGGACUGAGACACGGCCCAGACUCCUACGGGAGGCGGCAGUGGGGAAUAUUGCACAAUGGGCGAAAGCCUGAUGCAGCGACGCCGCGUGAGGGGUGACGGCCUUCGGGUUGUAAACCUCUUUCAGUAGGGAAGAAGCGAAAGUGACGGUACCUGCAGAAGAAGCACCGGCUAACUACGUG